GACGAACGCUGGCGGCGUGCCUAAUACAUGCAAGUUGAGCGCUGAAGGUUGGUACUUGUACCAACUGGAUGAGCAGCGAACGGGUGAGUAACGCGUGGGGAAUCUGCCUUUGAGCGGGGGACAACAUUUGGAAACGAAUGCUAAUACCGCAUAAAAACUUUAAACACAAGUUUUAAGUUUGAAAGAUGCAAUUGCAUCACUCAAAGAUGAUCCCGCGUUGUAUUAGCUAGUUGGUGAGGUAAAGGCUCACCAAGGCGAUGAUACAUAGCCGACCUGGGAGGGUGAUCGGCCACAAUGGGACUGAGAAAAGGCCCAAACUCCUACGGGAGGCAGCAGGAGGGAAUCUUCGGCAAAGGACGGAAGGCUGACCGGGCAACGCCGCGUGGGUGAAGAAGGUUUUCGGAUCGUAAAACUCUGUUGAUAGAGAAGAACGUUGGGGAGAGUGGAAAGCGCAUCAAGUGACGGUAACUACCCAGAAAGGGACGGCUAACUACGUG
rnacentral:rRNA from 1 species